AUGUUCUCAACCUUAUUGGUUUCUUUGAGACCAACAAGGCUUGGACUUUGGAGGUUUUCCUGCUGGCCUUGUUUUGAAGUCAGCUCCUCCUAAAUGAAUUGGUGGGGUCCGCUUUAGCUGAUCCUUGACGUGAUAAGCAUUUGUUCUACGUCAUGUCGGCUGGGAACCUGCUUUCUAACCUUAGAGUUACAUGUAACUCGACCGUUUUUAUAAACC
rnacentral:misc_RNA from 1 species